UGUUGUGUUAUGGAGAUGGUUUCAUUC
rnacentral:piRNA from 1 species